UUAAGUUAACAAGGGCGCAUGGUGAAUGCCUUGGCACUAGGAGCCGAUGAAGGACGGGACUAACACCGAUAUGCUUCGGGGAGCUGUACGUAAGCUAUGAUCCGGAGAUUUCCGAAUGGGGCAACCCAGCAGUUUUAAUCAACUGUUACCACUAGAUGAAUUCAUAGUCUAGUUGGAGGUAAACGCUGUGAACUGAAACAUCUCAUUAGCAGCAGGAAUAUAAAGAAAUUUCGAUUCCCUAAGUAGCGGCGAGCGAACGGGGAACAGCCCAAACCAAAGUGCUUGCACUUUGGGGUUGUAGGACUGAACAUUUGAGUUACCAAAGAACUUGAUAGUCGAAGGAUUUGGGAAAAUCCGCCAUAGAUGGUGAUAGCCCAGUAGAUUAAAUCAAAUUCUCUCAGUUCAGGAUCCUGAGUACGGCGGAACACGUGAAAUUCCGUCGGAAUCUGGGAGGACCAUCUCCCAAGGCUAAAUACUACCUAGUGACCGAUAGUGAACCAGUACCGUGAGGGAAAGGUGAAAAGCACCCCGGGAGGGGAGUGAAAUAGUUCCUGAAACCAUGUGCCUACAAUAAGUCAGAGCGCGUUAAUGCGUGAUGGCGUGCCUUUUGUAGAAUGAACCGGCGAGUUAUGAUCCCGUGCAAGGUUAAGACUAAAAAGUCGGAGCCGUAGCGAAAGCGAGUCUGAAAUGGGCGUUUUGAGUACGAGGUUAUAGACCCGAAACCAGGUGACCUAUCCAUGUCCAGGUUGAAGGUGCGGUAAAACGCACUGGAGGACCGAACCCGUGUAAGUUGAAAAUUGCUGGGAUGAGGUGUGGAUAGCGGUGAAAUUCCAAACGAACUUGGAGAUAGCUGGUUCUCUCCGAAAUAGCUUUAGGGCUAGCCUCGGAAUUAGGAUCAUGGAGGUAGAGCACUAUUUGGACUAGGGGCCCGUCUUGGGUUACUGAAUUCAGAUAAACUCCGAAUGCCAUUGAUUCAUAUCCGGGAGUCAGACGAUGAGUGAUAAGAUCCACCGUCGAAAGGGGAACAGCCCAGACCAUCAGUUAAGGUCCCUAAAUGUAUGCUAAGUGGAAAAGGAUGUGGAGUUGCAUAGACAACUAGGAUGUUGGCUCAGAAGCAGCCACCAUUUAAAGAGUGCGUAAUAGCUCACUAGUCGAGUGAUCCUGCGCCGAAAAUGUACCGGGGCUAAGCAUACUACCGAAACCAUGGAUGCGACCAUUAGGUCGCGUGAUAGGAGAGCGUUCUAAGGGCGGUGAAGCAAGAUCGUGAGGACUUGUGGAGCGCUUAGAAGUGAGAAUGCCGGUAUGAGUAGCGAAAGAUAGGUGAGAAUCCUAUCCACCGAAUGACUAAGGUUUCCUGGGGAAGGCUCGUCCUCCCAGGGUUAGUCGGGACCUAAGUCGAGGCCGAGAGGCGUAGACGAUGGAUAACAGGUUGAGAUUCCUGUACUAGUUAAGUGCGUUUGAGCAAUGGAGGGACGCAGGAGGCUAAGAUGUGCAUUCUGUUGGAUUAGAAUGUCCAAGCAGUAAGUCUUGUGAAGAGUCAAAUGCUUUUCACUUUAAGGACAAGCUGUGAUGGGGAGCGAAAUUUAGUAGCGAAGCGUCUGAUGUCACACUGCCGAGAAAAGCUUCUAGUGAGUACUUAACUACCCGUACCGCAAACCGACACAGGUAGUCGAGGAGAGAAUCCUAAGGUGAGCGAGUGAACUCUCGUUAAGGAACUCGGCAAAAUGACCCCGUAACUUCGGGAGAAGGGGUGCUGAUCGCAAGAUCAGCCGCAGUGAAUAGGCCCAGGCGACUGUUUAUCAAAAACACAGGUCUCUGCAAAAUCGUAAGAUGACGUAUAGGGGCUGACGCCUGCCCGGUGCUGGAAGGUUAAAAGGAUGGGUUAGCUUCGGCGAAGCUCAGAAUUGAAGCCCCAGUAAACGGCGGCCGUAACUAUAACGGUCCUAAGGUAGCGAAAUUCCUUGUCGGGUAAGUUCCGACCCGCACGAAAGGCGUAACGAUCUGGGCACUGUCUCAACGAGAGACUCGGUGAAAUUAUAUUGUCCGUGAAGAUGCGGACUACCCGCGACAGGACGGAAAGACCCCAUGGAGCUUUACUGUAGCUUGAUAUUGAGUGUUUGUACAGCUUGUACAGGAUAGGUAGGAGCCAUAGAAACCGGAACGCUAGUUUCGGUGGAGGCGUUGGUGGGAUACUACCCUCGCUGUAUGACCACUCUAACCCGCACCACUAAUCGUGGUGGGAGACAGUGUCAGGUGGGCAGUUUGACUGGGGCGGUCGCCUCCUAAAAAGUAACGGAGGCGCCCAAAGGUUCCCUCAGAAUGGUUGGAAAUCAUUCGCAGAGUGUAAAGGCACAAGGGAGCUUGACUGCGAGACAGACAGGUCGAGCAGGGACGAAAGUCGGGCUUAGUGAUCCGGUGGUACCGUAUGGAAGGGCCAUCGCUCAACGGAUAAAAGCUACCCUGGGGAUAACAGGCUUAUCUCCCCCAAGAGUCCACAUCGACGGGGAGGUUUGGCACCUCGAUGUCGGCUCAUCGCAUCCUGGGGCUGUAGUCGGUCCCAAGGGUUGGGCUGUUCGCCCAUUAAAGCGGUACGCGAGCUGGGUUCAGAACGUCGUGAGACAGUUCGGUCCCUAUCCGUCGCGGGCGUAGGAAAUUUGAGAGGACCUGUCCUUAGUACGAGAGGACCGGGAUGGACAUACCUCUGGUGUACCAGUUGUGCCGCCAGGCGCAUCGCUGGGUAGCUACGUAUGGAUGUGAUAAACGCUGAAAGCAUCUAAGUGUGAAACACACCUCGAGAUGAGAUUUCCCAUUCCUUUAUGGAAGUAAGACCCCUGAAAGAUGAUCAGGUAGAUAGGUUAGAAGUGGCAGUGCGGUGACGCAUGAAGCGGACUAAUACUAAUCGGUCGAGGACUUAACC
rnacentral:rRNA from 1 species